GAAAAGGUAUCACAUGCCAAGUUU
rnacentral:siRNA from 1 species